CCUACGGGUGGCAGCAGUGGGGAAUAUUGCACAAUGGGGGAAACCCUGAUGCAGCGACGCCGCGUGAGUGAAGAAGUAUUUCGGUAUGUAAAGCUCUAUCAGCAGGGAAGAAAUAAAGUCCUUCGGACUUUGGACGGUACCUGACUACGAAGCCCCGGCUAACUACGUGCCAGCAGCCGCGGUAAUACGUAGGGGGCAAGCGUUAUCCGGAUUUACUGGGUGUAAAGGGUGCGUAGACGGCAGCGCAAGUCUGGAGUGAAAGCCCAGGGCUUAACCAUGGAACUGCAUGGGAGACUGUGCAGCUGGAGUGCAGGAGAGGUAGGCGGAAUGUAUGGUGUAGCGGUGAAAUGCUUAGAGAUC
rnacentral:rRNA from 1 species